GGCUUACAUAAGAACAGAAGUGGAGACAGAAGGAAGAGGACCCAAGAGGAAGAAGUGAGAAAUUCAAGGGGGAAACAGAAGACAGGAAUAAGGGGAGGCCAAGUCUUUGGGGACCCGCCUCUACCUGUGUGCUCAGGUGGGCUAUGUCUGGGAAACGGCACAGCAGGUGUCCUACAGACAAAAUCCAGGAAAGCCCUCCAUGUGACACAUUCUAGGCUGGCCAGACACCACAUGUCUCCACCCUAAGCUUCUCUCCUAUUCUGCCUUUCGCUCUGCUCUGCGCAUGGCGGGCCCCUCCUAACCCACCAUCCUGACACGUCCUCAGCCACCUGGAGACACCCAGGAGCCAGGUGAGCAGGCUGCCCAGCAAAGCCCCCCGGCUGGAAGACAGGCAUCAAGGGCCAGACACGCCAUCUGCCACCAGUGCCCACACCGAGUCUUGGAAGGCCGCUUCGUCUAUCGCACAAGGGACCCUGGACCCCUACCGGACCACCUUUCUUCUCUGCUGCCCUUCGGGCUCUGGGAGCAGGACACACAGGGGCCCUUCCCACACCUGGCUCUGGCCCGGCCCUCCCCGCACCGGGUCAGGCUGCAGUUCAGUAAGAGCCCGACAGUGGGCAGGCCUCAGCCUGGGCCCAGCUGCCAUGACAACUGGGGACCAACCACACAAAGAGGGGAUUGAGCUAGCAGCAGGUGGAGAGGCCCGGGGCAGGGGCAGGCAACAAAGGAGCUUUGGUUGUGGCAGAGACUUGGGGGUGGGGAGGCCAGACAGCAGCUGGGGGAGGAGAAAGGCCACAGGCCAGAAAGAGGCAAGGUCGUCCCCAUCGCCGCCCCUGGAACCUCCCACCAGCCCAGCACAGCUCUCACAGCCUCAGCGCCCCAGGUCGGGCAGUCAGAAGCAGACCAUGCCGCAGAUGAACAUGGGAACAGUUGGCUGUGAAGCCUUGGACUGUCGUCGGCCUCCAGCCCCUGGGGCUCUGACCACACCCAGCCCCAGUUCAGAUCAUCUUGCUCAAAAGGCUGAAGGAGGCCCCAUCUCCACACCUUCCACAUGUAGAUAGAUAUCCUCAACGUUCUUCACAGAGGGGAUGCCCGCACCCACCCCACCGAAUUCGCGGCUGCUGUGCCCAUCUUCCUGGGGAGGAGUUCUCCGCCACACCCGACACCACACCCUUCCAACUUCUGCGGUGCUUCCCUCUCACUUAUCUCCACCCCCAAUCCUUAUCCCCGCUCGUUUAAUCACACAUUUAUUGAGCACCUAC